rnacentral:rRNA from 1 species
CCUACGGGAGGCAGCAGUGGGGAAUAUUGCACAAUGGGGGAAACCCUGAUGCAGCGACGCCGCGUGAGCGAUGAAGUAUUUCGGUACGUAAAGCUCUAUCAGCAGGGAAGAAAAUGACGGUACCUGACUAAGAAGCCCCGGCUAACUACGUGCCAGCAGCCGCGGUAAUACGUAGGGGGCAAGCGUUAUCCGGAUUUACUGGGUGUAAAGGGAGCGUAGACGGCUGUGCAAGCCAGGUGUGAAAGCCCGGGGCUCAACCCCGGGACUGCAUUUGGAACUGUGUGGCUGGAGUGUCGGAGUGGCAGGCGGAAUUCCUAGUGUAGCGGUGAAAUGCGUAGAUAUUAGGAGGAACACCAGUGGCGAAGGCGGCCUGCUGGACGGUGACUGACGUUGAGGCUCGAAAGCGUGGGGAGCAAACAGGAUUAGAUACCCGAGUAGUC